rnacentral:rRNA from 1 species
UACGUAGGGGGCAAGCGUUGUCCGGAAUCAUUGGGCGUAAAGAGCGUGUAGGCGGCUCGGUAAGUCCGCUGUGAAAGUCCAGGGCUCAACCCUGGAAUGCCGGUGGAAACUGUCGAGCUAGAGUCCGGAAGAGGCGAGUGGAAUUCCUGGUGUAGCGGUGAAAUGCGCAGAUAUCAGGAGGAACACCAAUGGCGAAGGCAGCUCGCUGGGACGGUACUGACGCUGAGACGCGAAAGCCAGGGGAGCGAACGGG